GUCAGAUAGUUCUAAGAAGUUAUUUGCGGGCAAUUUGAAUCCAUAGAGUUUCAGAGACAGAACUGUGGCUUUUGAUAGGAAAAGAGAUUGUCAACUUGCUGGUCAAUGGACUAGUAGCAGCUGCACGAUGUUAAGUGUGUUGUUUUAGAAAAUCCAUUGCAGAAUAGAGCCUGGACCUACACGUGAUGAUGCCGACAGUACAGACACUUCAACUGAUGACCAGCAGUGCACAACGUCAUCUCUCCUGUCCACCAGCACCUCAUCUCAACCCGGGCCCAUCCUCCAGAAAACCAACUCACCGGCUGAUUUAUCCACACUUGAUGAACCUCCUGCAAUUUACAACGCAGAGCCAAGACAUCUACAUCUUCUACUUAAGAUGAUUUGUUUGGGCUACAAAAACAGUCAAAUUGUGAUGUGUCUGACAGGAGCCAGAUGUUAGUCUGCUGCUGCCACAGAUUCUGUGCAGAUUUUCCACAACACACACAUCAAUUAUUUAUCUUACUUUAUUGUUCUGUUAUUGUUCUCUUCAUUGUUUAUUUUAUUAGUGAAUGGAUUUUGUUGUAUUCAUGAAACUGUUGUCUAACAAUA